rnacentral:tRNA from 1 species
CGGGGAAUGGCGCAGUUUGGUAGCGCGCCUGCUUUGGGAGCAGGAGGCCGGGGGUUCAAGUCCCCCUUCCCCGACCA